ensembl:lncRNA
GCGAUAGGGGUCAUCAAGGGUUAGGAACAGGCAUUUCUCCUCCCCACCCAAUCCCAUUCACCCAUACCUGCGAUAGGGGUCAUCAAGGGUCAGGAACAGGCAUUUCCCUCCCCACUAAUCCCAUCCACCCAUACCUGCGAUAGGGGUCAUCAAGGGUCAGGAACAGGCAUUUCUCCUCCCCACCCAAUCCCAUCCACCCAUACCUGCGAUAGGGGUCAUCGAGGUUUAGGAACAGGCAUUUCUCCUCCCCACCCAAUCCCAUCCACCCAUACCUGCGAUAGGGGUCAUCGAGGGUUAGGAACAGGCAUUUCUCCUCCCCACCCAAUCCCAUCCACCCAUACCUGCGAUAGGGGUCAUCGAGGGUUAGGAACAGGCAUUUCUCCUCCCCACCCAAUCCCAUCCACACAUACCUGCGAUAGGGGUCAUCAAGGGUCAGGAACAGGCAUUUCUCCUCCCCACUAAUCCCAUCCACCCAUACCUGCGAUAGGGGUCAUCGAGGGUUAGGAACAGGCAUUUCUCCUCCCCACCCAAUCCCAUCCACCCAUACCUGCGAUAGGGGUCAUCGAGGGUUAGAACAGGCAUUUCUCCUCCCCACCCAAUCCCAUCCACCCAUACCUGCGAUAGGGGUCAUUG